rnacentral:tRNA from 1 species
GUUGGUAUAGCUCAGUAGUAGAGCGUGUGCUUAGCAUGCAUGAGGUCCUGGGUUCAAUCCCCAGUCCCUUCA